GGGCCGCUAGCUCAGUCGGCAGAGCACCGCCCUUUUAAGGCGGGUGUGCCGGGUUCGAACCCCGGGCGGCUCACCA
rnacentral:tRNA from 4 species